GACGUAGGGCGCGAGCGUUGUCCGGAAUUAUUGGGCGUAAAGAGCUCGUAGGCGGUUCGUCGCGUCGGCUGUGAAAACCCGGAGCUCAACUCCGGGCCUGCAGUCGAUACGGGCGGACUAGAGUUCGGCAGGGGAGACUGGAAUUCCUGGUGUAGCGGUGAAAUGCGCAGAUAUCAGGAGGAACACCGGUGGCGAAGGCGGGUCUCUGGGCCGAUACUGACGCUGAGGAGCGAAAGCGUGGGGAGCGAACAGG
rnacentral:rRNA from 1 species